rnacentral:rRNA from 1 species
GACGAACGCUGGCGGCGUGCUUAACACAUGCAAGUCGAACGAAGUGGCGCACGGGUGAGUAACGCGUAUUCCACCUGCCCUUCUGAGGGGGACAACAGUUGGAAACGAAAGCUAAUAUCGCAUACCGAAGGAUGGGAUUGCGUGUGAUUGGGUAGUUGGAGGGGUAAUGGCCCACCAAGGCGUUGAUCAGUAGCGGGUCCGCGAGGAAGAACGGCCAACUUGGGACUGAGGCACGGCCCAGACUCCUACCGGAGGCAGCAGUGGGGAAGUUUCCGCAAUGGAGGAAAGUCUGACGCAGCAACGCCGCGUGAGUGGUGACGGCCUUCAGGUUGUAAAGCUCUGUUAAUCGGGACGCGGUACCGGAAUAGAAAGCCACGGCUAACUACGUGCCAGCAGCCGCGGUAAUUC